GAUGAACGCUGGCGGCGUGCCUAAUACAUGCAAGUCGAGCGAACGGACGAGAAGCUUGCUUCUCUGAUGUUAGCGGCGGACGGGUGAGUAACACGUGGAUAACCUACCUAUAAGACUGGGAUAACUUCGGGAAACCGGAGCUAAUACAGGAUAAUAUUUUGAACCGCAUGGUUCAAAAGUGAAAGAAGGUCUUGCUGUCACUUAUAGAUGGAUCCGCGCUGCAUUAGCUAGUUGGUAAGGUAACGGCUUACCAAGGCAACGAUGCAUAGCCGACCUGUGAGGGUGAUCGACCACACUGGAACUGAGACACGGUCCAGACUCCUACGGGAGGCAGCAGUAGGGAAUCUUCCGCAAUGGGCGAAAGCCUGACGGAGCAACGCCGCGUGAGUGAUGAAGGUCUUCGGAUCGUAAAACUCUGUUAUUAGGGAAGAACAUAUGUGUAAGUAACUGUGCACAUCUUGACGGUACCUAAUCAGAAAGCCACGGCUAACUACGUG
rnacentral:rRNA from 1 species